AUAACACCCCACUGAAGGUUUAGAAGCCCUGCGGUCUGAGGGUUUAGAAGCCCUGAGGUCUGAGGGUUUAGAAGCCCUGAAGGUUUAGAAGCCCUGAGGUCUGAGGGUUUAGAAGCCCUGAAGGUUUAGAAGCCCUGAAGGUUUAGAAGCCCUGCGUUCUGAGGGUUUAGAAGCCCUGCGGUCUGAGGGUUUAGAAGCCCCAAGCCCCGAGGGUUUAGAAGCCCCGAGGGUUUAGAUGCCCCGAGGGUUUAGAUGCCCCGAGGGUUUAGAUGCCCCGAGGGUUUAGAUGCCCCGAGGGUUUAGAUGCCCCGAGGGUUUAGAAGCCCCGAGGGUUUAGAAGCCCCAAAGGUUUAGAAGCCCCAAAGGUUUAGAAGCCCCAAAGGUUUGGAAGUCCUGAGGUCUGAAUACACAUUUUUCAUGAACAAUAAACUGAAGUACUCUUGACUGAAAGAGCUGUGUAUACACAGCAGCCCUUACUAUGCCAGUCCUCAUUACCCACAGGGCUCAAUUAACACUUAAGCCUGCUAACAGCCUGCGAAGCUGUAAAAUAACAAAAUGGAAAACAGCUAUAAAUACACCUCCUAAUUGUCUUGCCUUCUACUUGACUCCAUUCGCUUCAUUGGACUCCUGUCUAAAUGUACGAUUCUGUGUCUUGUGGCAGAAAAACAUCAAGCCAUGGUGACAUCCCAAUAACCUUCCUCCUCAUGUGUUCCCUCGUUCACUACUCCCAAGUUUUAAAGCAUUAGAUUGGUGUAAGGCACGCGCUAGAGGGAGUUCCCAUAAACCGGUCAAUUCUUCUAAAUUCCAUGGAGGGAAGUGAGUGCACUCUUCAGGAGAAACAAGACCGGGAUGUAACCCAAAGCUACUUUGCCCCUAAGGGCUACCGUACAAACCACCCAUCCAUCCCACAAUCCCCCAGGAACCAGCAACGACACCGGGAGAAAACAGUCUGACCAGUCUUUAAUUGUCAUCAUAUUUGAAUUAUAUAACAGUACAUAAAACA